rfam:Shewanella pealeana ATCC 700345, complete genome.
UUAUUUCUAUACUGUUACAGGUUCUGGAUAUAUCAACCUCGUCAUUACGGGGUUUUUUGUUAUCUGGAACUUAUAAAACGGCCACUUUUGUGGCGUGUACUGGGGCUAUUAGGCCCUUUUUUG